CACCCACAGAUGAGACGGAUUUAUUUGAUGCAUCUUUACGAAACAAAUGUUUUCACGGUAGCACCACGGACGUGCAAACGCUUUGAUUCUCUUGCCCUCCCCCAUGCAAUUCCUCCCCUUGUUCUCCCGCGCUGCGGGCUCUGCGGGCUCGGGGCUGCUCCGCGGCUCAAACAAAGCUGCCGCCUGGCGCGCGCGGCACGAGAGGAGAAGACGGCCCCCGGCAAGCCUUUCGGGUCCCUCCUGCCUGCAGCGGGACGAUUUUGCAGCCUGCCUGGUGCAACUGUGGAUAGCGGAGGCAUCGUGCUGCACUAGCUAGGGGAGGAGGAGGAGCCAGAGCUGGCAGCGGGCUGCUCCUGCUGCCGGGCGUGGUCGAGCGCAUCGCCAUCUCGGCGUGUUGGAGAACGUGGGAUCGCUCUGAUUCCCGCCGCUCCACAGCUUUGCCGCAAUGGUGAAGGAAGAUACGGUGAAUGAAGAUUCUGAACCAUCAGUAUGUGAGAGAAAUGGCAUGAUUCCCAUGCAUGAGAAAAGUGAGGAGGGGUCAACAGUAGAUGCCAAAGGUGCUGAUGGGAAUGUACAAACAGAAGAAACUGCUCUAUUGAAUCACUCAGCUCAGCAGCCUCCAGAACCAAUAUCAGGGUCUUCAGCACCUGCAGGAACAUGGAGGCAAAUAUUUGCUUGUCCUCCUCAGGGUUUACUGUCUCGAAUAGUAACAAAUGUUGCCGCUGUGGUCUUGGUUUGGGCUGUGGUUUGGUCCAUCACUGGGCCCGAAUGUCUCCCAGGUGGAAACCUGUUUGGAAUUUUGUGUCUUUAUUUUUUUGCUGUCAUUGGAGGUAAAAUUUUUGGACUCAUUAAAAUAGGAACACUGCCACCCCUCCCUGCUCUUCUGGGGAUGCUUCUUGCUGGUUUUCUCGUCCGAAAUACCCCGUUUGUUAGUGACAUUGUCCAGAUAAAUCUGCGCUGGUCUGCCGCACUGAGGAAUAUUGCUCUUUCAAUUAUCCUGACCCGAGCAGGACUUGGUCUAGAUCCAAAGGCUCUUAGGAAGCUCAAAGCAGUCUGCUUACGGCUUUCUUUUGGACCAUGCCUCUCGGAAACAUGCACAGCUGCUGUUUUUGCCUAUUUACUCAUGCAUUUGCCAUGGCAGUGGGGAUUUAUAUUAGGUUUUGUUCUAGGUGCAGUCUCUCCUGCUGUUGUAGUUCCCUCAAUGCUGAUCUUACAAGCUGGGGGAUAUGGAGUGGAGAAAGGUGUCCCAACUUUGCUAAUGGCAGCUGGAAGCAUUGAUGACAUUCUGGCUAUUACAGGCUUCAACACUUGCCUUGGGAUGGCUUUCUCUUCUGGUUCCACUCUGUACAAUGUGCUCCAAGGAGUGCUGGAGGUUGCUGUUGGCAUAGCAGCUGGUGGGAUUCUGGGAGUGUUUGUUCGGUAUUUCCCAAGCCAUGAUCAGGCAUCUCUGUCAUGGAAGAGAUCGUAUUUUGUGCUUGGACUGUCCAUGUUUGCUGUUUUUGGCAGUGUCUAUUUUGGCUUCCCUGGAUCAGGAGGGCUCUGCACAUUAGUCUUAGCUUUUAUUGCUGGCAUGGGAUGGUCCGAGGAAAAGAGGGAAGUAGAAAAAAUUGUUGCCAUUGCUUGGAAUAUCUUUCAACCUUUUCUUUUUGGUUUGAUCGGAGCCGAAGUAUCUGUUACAUCUCUCAGGCCUGAAACUGUUGGGCUCUGUGUAGCUACACUAGGUAUUGCCCUAGUUGUGCGAAUCGUUGCGACGUUCCUGAUGGUGUGUUUUGCUGGGUUUAAUUUCAAGGAGAAAGUAUUUGUCUCACUGGCGUGGAUUCCCAAAGCCACUGUGCAGGGACUGUCAGUUCUGGUCAUGGCAAGAAGCAGCAAGCAGUGCUUAUGUGCUGAAAGAGACAGUUCCAGUGAGGCUGUGGUAAUAAAGAAGUACCCGGUGAAAAGAACCAAGCUUGAAAAUAAGAUGAAAGAGGCCGUAAGGACUGGGAGAAAGUUACAUGGGAUUGGGAUGGCUGCUUCCUGGCGUGUGUACUUCAGCCUUUGUGCAUCUCUGUGUCAAGCCAAUGAAAGCCAGCUUGUCAGCCACUGGGAGUGUGUACUCUAGGACAGGAGAGAACUCCCCACGGAUGGAGCUUGCUGGCAUGGCAAUGCCGAGGUAGCAACGAGUUGUUUCUUUCUUCCUCAGCUCCUUUUGGGAAACCUGACGGUAGUGACAGACCUCAAAUUAGGAUUUAUGAAUCAGCAGGGAACAUACAGUCUUCAGUUAAUGCUUGUUCCCUGACAAGAGAAGAAGGUGCUCUCAAACUGUACAGACUGAUGAACGGUUCCAGUGCUGCAUGAGAUGGUUACUGUGUCAAGCGCUGACUUCUGUGUCCCUCCUGCCUGCUGUGCAUGGCUCACUGAGGUACUCAGUUGCAUAAACGAGGAUAGUUUUAUAAGGAGCUUAUUGCAUUUGGAAAGUGUAGUAUGUGCAGACCUAAUGGGUAAAGUGAAGGAGUAUGCUGUUCAGUUCGUCAGUGGCUGCUUAUAAAAUAAUACACUUCAUGUGAUUAAAAUGUAGAGGAGAAGCUGUGUAUAGUUUGGUUUAUUUACAAAGUUUUAUAGAAAAUAAAAACUCUCCUUCAAGGAGUGAUCACUGCACCACAUUUGGAAUGUGUUCAGUGACAGUGUAAGCAUUAUAGCCCUUUAAAUUUGAACACAAUCAUAAGCCUGACAGCCUUGCUCGCCAUCUCAUAAAUUGACUCUAUCGUGUUCCCUUAAUCUUAGUUCCCUCUCAGUUCAGUUAUCAGGAUCACUCCUCACAUCAUUCUAGACCCCGAAUAGCUGCACUGAUUCAACUGUACCUUUGUCUCACAAAUGAAAUUCAAUUUUCCUUUCCUCACCACUGAGUGUAUUUGUCACAGGGCCCCUUUCUCUGAGCCUUUAUUAAGUUGUGAAUAAGAAUCGCAUUGAAGCUAUUACAGUCCUGCAGAUCUAAAAUGAGAAGCAUUGAUGCUAUAUAAUGCUCCUUGCUUUCUAGAAAGGAACAAAACACAUCUUGUCAUGAGAAGAAAUGUUAUAUCGGGGCUGAGAUAUUGUCAAUAAGUACAAUAAGUGACAAUUUCAGCUGCAUUUAAAUAGGAGUUAAUUGAAAGAGUUUGCAGAGGUGAAGUCAUGACAACUAGGGCCCCCUCCCUUUGAACAAAAUGCCAUGAAAUCAUCCAUGAAUAAUGCAUAAAUUCAAGCUAAUAAAAUCUUUAUGCCAUGCCAAACAGUCUCUUUUUUGGAGGAACUGAAAUUAGUGUGCAACAUGCAGUAACUGUAACUGGGGGAGUCCCACUGUCAUGCAGACAUAAGCACAAGUGCAAGGUGGAGAAUACUGAGCACUGCAUGCAUGUGCAGUUCCAGAAGGUUCAGAAGAGCCUCAGCAGCAGAACAGUCUGACAGCAUAGCACAGCCCUGCUGGCACACAGCAGGCAGUUAGAGCAGGCAGCAUACGAGUAAAGACAGAAAGGGGCCAUCUGGAAGCAGGAAGUAGCAUGAGCCAGGGAUGAAAUAACAAUGUAAUUAUAAUCACUCUCUUCCUUUUUCAGCUAAACUGAACAUUCUGGAGAAUUCAGAUGACGUCUAGAAUUAAUUGUGAAAUGCUCAGGCUGUAGUAUGGCCACAAAACGGUAAAUGAUAGUUUUUGCACUUUAAAUGGAGUCCAAGAAGUGAAAUUUUGGGCCAGGUGGUGCUUGAAUCGCACUUGCUUUGUCUAAUAGUUGACACAAAUAAGUCAUCUUUAUCUAAGUAUAUUUGUUUUGCAGGUUUAUUUGUAGUUUAUUACAGUGAUUGUUCAAAUUCAUAGUGGAAAGAGGUCAUUACUACUGUCCUAGUAGAGUAAGGCAUCAUGGUAUGACAUGCCCUGCUAUGCUUUCCCCGACUUUGCAUCAAGACAAGUGAAGAUCUGGUCUGGUCUACCACCCGUGUCCUGGUAUUUAUCAUGCUAUUAUCCCCUUGUGUGGGGCUUCCAACUAAGGAUAGAAAAGUCACCCAGUGCCAAGAGAGCCCAGCACACCUUAGUAGGUAAUGCGUUCAACUCUAUCAUUGCUGAGACUGAGGGCUUCACAGACAUUUCAGUCCUUAGCUUAGCUCACAGACUUUAGAGAGAGAAUCUGAACAGAUAAGUAAAUUGUGAGGCUGGUUUUUCUUUUUGCUGCAAAGACUUGCAUUUAGAGCACAAGCUGUGAAAAUUCAGCAAUUUUUUUUAUUUUUAUGUUUUGCAUCUGUCUUCCAAAGGACAUCACAUUAAAUUAAGAGCAAAACUUCUUGCAUUUGGCUUGCAGAUGAAGAAUCCAAAUUGCAAACAGCACAGGCUCAGAUAAGCCAAUCCAAUUCAGUGCUGUGAACUCAGCAGUCCAAGAAAAUUUCAUUUACUUGGUGAGUGCAGGUACAGACACCUAACUUCCAUGGAUUCUUGAAAUCAGAGAGGAUGAUAAAGGCUCUGGUAUCCUUCUUCAUCUUGGGAUGCAUUUUGCUGUCCUUCUCAGACUGACGCGACGUGAAUCCAUUACACAGCUGUUUUUACCUGGCAGGUAGGCUGAAACAAAACUCUUACUUUGAUAAACAAAAGCAGAACAAUUCUUGGUUUGAAAUUCCUGCAGCCAAAGCACUACAGCCAGUGUUGUUCAGCUUUUGUUUACUUCAGUUUUAUAGCUGUACUUUUACAGGCAGCAAUUGCAGCAAAAGAAGGGAUUUUUAAUGCCAAGAGUAUGAAAAUUACCCUACAGGAAUGCGCAAUCCCCUUGUUAGGGCUCUUCGCUGCACCUGACUAAGGCCUGCUCCAAAACCACCAUGAAGAUGGGAUUCACCUUAACUUUAAGUGUGGUCACAUGAGGCAGUUUUCCCUUCACAGAUUCAUUUUGAAAUGCAGGGAAAUAGUAAAAAAGAUUGUAAGCAAGAUAAGAUGACUAUCCUGUAGAAAUAAGUAAGAUGUCCUUUCUAAAAAGGAACUGUGAUACAUUGUUGUUGCUAAACUAUACCUCAUGUAGGUUCCACUGCCAUAGAGACAUAAGCAAAACCAAACCAAACACCAUGUGUUUCUGUAGCCAGAGUUGCAGGUAGUUUAGCAGUAGUUUCAUCCAACAGAAAUCAGGGGAAAAACAAUUACAUAAUCAAAAUGUGCGAGAGGUGGAGGCAAGAGGCUAAACAUCACAUUGUCAUUUUUUAAAGGAGAUUUCUGGGAGAAAAUUCACUUCUGCUGUACCACUUACCUCAGCAGCAUUUGUCUAAGUGGAACAACAGAAAAGAGGAUUGCUGUACACAGAAAGCAAUGAAAUUAUCUGAAUGUGAGAGUAUCCUGAUAGAAGCUGGAAGUACAUAAAGACUUGUAUAGAAUAA